CUUUCUUGGAAUCCUUAUCUCUGUGGAAAUUGGGUUGGAUCUAUUUGUGGUCCUUCUUUGCCUAAGUCCAGAGUAUUCUCCAAAGCUGUUGUGAUCUGCAUUGUUCUCGGUAUCAUCACUCUCCUAUGUAUGAUACUCAUCGUGGUUGUCAGAUCUAAGCAACAGAAGGAAAUCAUAAAAGGCUCCUCCUCAAAACAAGCCGAAGGCUCAACCAAGCUAGUGAUUCUCCACAUGGACAUGGCGAUCCACACGUUCGAUGACAUCAUGAGGGUAACAGAGAACUUCAACGAGAAGUUCAUUGUUGGAUUACGGUGCUUCUAGCACGGUCUACAAAUGCACUUUGAAAAACUUCCCCGACCUAUUGCAAUUAAGCGACUCUACAAUCAGUAUCAGCACAACUUGCGUGAGUUUGAAACAGAACCGAGAC